rnacentral:rRNA from 1 species
UACGUAGGUGGCGAGCGUUGUCCGGAUUUACUGGGCGUAAAGAGCGCGCAGGCGGUCGUUCAAGUCGCGUGUGAAAGCCCCCGGCUCAACUGGGGAGGGUCACGCGAUACUGAUCGACUCGAAGGCAGGAGAGGGAAGUGGAAUUCCCGGUGUAGUGGUGAAAUGCGUAGAUAUCGGGAGGAACACCAGUGGCGAAGGCGACUUCCUGGCCUGUACUUGACGCUGAGGCGCGAAAGCUAGGGGAGCAAACGGG